GUUAGAUUUGUGAAUUGCAUUCCUUAAGAAUUAUUUUACUUGUGGAUAAAUAUUUUAGUGGGACAUACCAACAGUGCCUUUAUUUAUUGGAAUUGAUUGUUUAUAUUAUUGAUCUGAUGGAACUACAAUAAUAAGUGUUGAUACUAUUUAAAUGACAAUUGGAGUAUUUACAAAAGAAAAUAAAGUUAUUCAAACAGCCAAACAUGCCUUCAAAACAUUCAACUUUGGAUCAUUAGUAUAGAAUAUAAAUUGUUCUAUAGGUUAAUGCUGCUGUUGGAUUGGAGCUAGGUCCCAGCGGGCCUAGCAUGGGCCACUAUGAAUCCAUCUGCUGUCAGCAAGUCAAGCACUCGCGGCUCUGGAUACCAUCAAAAAGCUCUAGCUGAGAUUCGUAAUUCUCUGCUUCCUUUCGCAAAUAUCGGAGGUACGGGGGAAGUAGGUUCCAGUGCCGCAAGUACAAUCUC